GCACAGAUCAUGUAAAUGUCAGUUCUACUCCAUUUUUUAUUUCAUGCCAGAACCUGCUGAUAUAUUUAUAUAAAUUUAUAUUUAACACAGCUGAACUCUGAACAUCACACUGCUGGAAUAAAAACUACUUAUUGUUGAGUUUUGCUGGAGGUAGAACACACCAUGGGCACUGUGUUCCAAAUUAUUAUAAAAAUAUUAUAAAAACACGAUUUUUGUGUCAUAAAUAUGAUUGAUAUAUUGAUAUGAUUUGAUUUUUGUUUUCAGUUAAACUCAUGGAUGGUGUUGUGUCUAAAAGCUCUUUGGAUCAAUCUCAGACACCUGUCAUAAUUAGUUUGUCAGGUGAGCCCAGUUAAAGGAAAACUAUUUAAGAAGGAUGUUCCACAUUGUUAAGCACACCAUAGGUUCAAGCAAUAUGGGAAAGAAAAAGGAUCUUUGCUGCAGAAAAGUGAAAAGAGCGCAAUGCCUUGGAUAUUGUAUGGCGGAGCUCACUGCAGGCUCCCGCCCUUGGCACACACCUGCAUCUCGUCAGGCUCUGAUUACGGGUUGGACUCUUAAGGCCGGGAUGCAGACAGCCUCACCACUGGAUGAUUAUGCUAGACACGUUAGUGAACCUCUGCCUCGAAUCCUUAGGCUUUGUGGACUUGCUGCGAUCUCUGUGUGAUUGUGUUUUCUCCUGUGCACA